AGAACGAACGCUGGCGGCAUGCCUAACACAUGCAAGUCGAACGAACUCUUCGGAGUUAGUGGCGCACGGGUGCGUAACGCGUGGGAAUCUGCCCCUUGGUUCGGAAUAACAGUUAGAAAUGACUGCUAAUACCGGAUGAUGUCUUCGGACCAAAGAUUUAUCGCCAAGGGAUGAGCCCGCGUAGGAUUAGGUAGUUGGUGGGGUAAAGGCCUACCAAGCCGACGAUCCUUAGCUGGUCUGAGAGGAUGAUCAGCCACACUGGGACUGAGACACGGCCCAGACCUCCUACGGGAGGCAGCAGUGGGGAAUAUUGGACAAUGGGGGAAACCCUGAUCCAGCAAUGCCGCGUGAGUGAUGAAGGCCUUAAGGGUCGUAAAGCUCUUUACCGAGGGAUGAUAAUGACAGUACCUGGAGAAUAAGCUCCGGACUAACUCCGUGCCAGCACGCCGAC
rnacentral:rRNA from 1 species